rnacentral:lncRNA from 1 species
AAGUAUGUAUCAUUUACCUUUUUAAACCUUUAGCUAUUAAUUCUUUACUCGCUGGUUCUUCUCCUAAGCCAGAAGCACAUAGACUACACCUGUUUUCUUUGUUGAUUGUUAGCCUUGAAUAUACUUGAGUAACUGCUAAAUAAAUAUCUACUCAAUAAGUCAGCAAAAUUAGAGAUAUCACUGAAAUCGAUGAUGUUGCUUAGAAAACCAUCGUAGUCUGCACAUUUGUAAAAGGCCUCAGUCAGAAAUUUAGAGACCAUUGAAUCACACUUAGAUUAGUUUUUGUAGAUUGAUAAAGGAGUGACUUAGAGGACUGGUUUUCAUGGACACUAGUGAGUGGGGACACUGAUUAAUAUAACAAUGAACCAAACACCUUUCUUUCUAGAUAAGGACAAAAACAUGUAUGUGUAAGUCAUUAUAACCACAAAGUGACUGUGGAAUGAUGCUAUAUGGUGGCAAUCAUAGUACUGCCACCAGGGUUACCUUUGUUCUGUGUCAUACCCAUAUUCCUUUUUAUUUUAGGACAAAUCCCUACUUUUCCUAAAGAAACAAGUAAUAAUGUUAGUCAUUGAUAUGAAUGCAUUGAAUGCUGGCCCUGUGGCAAGUAUACUGGCAAACACAUUGACCCUGGGUCUGAUUUGACCCCAUUAACAAUCCUAUAAGGCAACUGUCAAUGCUAUAACUAUUUGGGUAUAAUUUAAGUGUUAAAAUUUAACAUUGUAUUUUGGAUAAUCCAUUAAAAUAUUUUUCAGAGAAAGCUAAUGAAAUGGCUCAGUAUGCAAAGAUAGUUACUAUUGAGCCUGAUAACCUGAAUUCAAAUCUAUGGAAGAAUCUAUAUGGUGGGAGGAGAAAACUGUCUCCAAAGGUUGUUGCCUGAUCUCCACAUAUGUUUUCCUUCUCCAUAUCAAUCAGCCAACCAGACACCUGGGCCAUGGUGUGGUCCUAACCCAUGACUCACCAUGACUGGUCCUACAGCAGAAAGGGUCUGUUAGGACCAAAGGCCAGGCAAAUGUUUGUUCUGCACUGUCCCUAUAGAAAAGGUGAUCUCAGGAGACUUAGGGCCAUGUUGAUGUCCUAGGGCAGCACAGAGUUGGCCCAGUCCUUUGUUUGCCAGCCACCUUGACUGGGUGGCACAAAAGAUGUGGCCCUAGGGAAAUGAGAGUCCGAGAGUUGGCCCAGUCCCUUGCUGGCUUUAGCACUUGAAUGAUUAACUGAAUCAGUUCUGCAGAGCUUGCCCUGAUAGAUGUAGGAUAUCUAGAAAGCUGUCCAACACAGCUACAACACAGGCCUAGAUUUAGGACUGUGAGUUAUCCCACCCAAAUAUCUAUCCCAUCUAUGAACUAUGUGUGAAAGAACCAGUCCCACAUAACCAAAGCUGCAAGAUCCAGUAUUGACAGUGUAAGAGAAGCCAGAGGCUUAGAAUUAGACAAAGAACUCACUGCAAUGAACAUUUGCAAGUAAUGCUGCUUGGGCCAAAGGAUAUACUAUAUGACACACAACAACCUCCAUGGCAAUCUUAAAAAUUUUUUCUUAUUUAUUUAUUUAUUUAUUUAUUUAUUUAUUUAUUUAUAUAAUGGUGGGAGGUUGCAAGAGUGGUGGGCAAAUAUAGAUGGAUGGAGAGAUGAAUGGAAUUGGAGUGCAUGAUGUGAAACUCACAAAGGAUCAAGAAAAAGAAUAAAAGCAUCUUCAAGGAAAAAUUAAGAUUGGUGGACUGCAAAUUCAGAAAGACUUAGAUUUGGGUGAUUUUAAUUUCAAUCAAUUAUACAUAAGUUUUAAAUGUAAGCCAAAUCCUUUGUUCAUGGUUUCUUAUUCUCUAAGAGGAUAGUUAUUGCAAUGGCUACCAUUACUUCCUUUUUCAUGUGUCUUAUGGCUUUUCACUGCAGCAGCUAGGAUUGGUGGUGUUGGAUAGAUUCUUUUAAAUUAGUCAAAUUAUUUCAGUGGAGGUGACUGCGAUGCUCAUGAGGAACUAUGUUGUGAUAGGGUAAGGAUGCCAUUUUCCCACUUUAUUGUAGGUCUGAAUCAUCAGCUAGACUCUUGAUGCAUAUGCCCAGGACACCUGACUCAGUGUUCCUUUUUAACCUAAGAGUAGAAUACUUGCUGUAAAAUCAUUCACCAUCAAAGAGAAUUACCACUAUCCAGUAAUAAACCCUUACAAACUAUCUCCUCUUCAAUUCUAGUCAUCUUAGGAAGUUAAAAAAUACCAAAUGCACAGUAAUAAUCGAAAGAAUAUGAGUAAUAAAAUAAUCAGUGAGAUGAUAGCAAAUAAAGAAGAAUGUAAAUAAAAAGGUGAACAGUAGGAAUCAUCUUAGUGAAACUGAGGGGCUUCAGGUUAAAGAUAGAAUGAAAAAAAGAAAAGGGACAAUAAAUGCAACCAGAUAACUGAAAAUUAUCUCAGCUCUCAGGAGCUGGAGACUGGGAAACACGCC